UCUUCCCGAAAAGAAAAAGGACCCUGGAGUCCAAGCAGGAUGACCGGGGCUCGCUUCAAGCGGACACAUCCACCAGCAUUGAAGUAACGCCGCGUAAAACAAUAAGAUGAUGUUUGCACUUCAUGCAGCAGUCCACCUGUGUUUAUCUGCAGAGCGGAUGAAAGGAAACAAGGGGCCGACACUUCUACAACUCAUGUAGCAAUAAUGGCUCCGCCAACAGAGACUUUGUCGCAGUGUUACAAUGUCUAAACGGUGCAAUUUUAUAUUUCUUUUGUUUUGACUAUGUAUAGAGGGCUAGGCCACACUGCUCUAAAUAGACUAGAGCAAUACCUGUUUGUUUUCUUUUUUAAAUAUACUAACUUAUUUUAUUUAUGUUCCUAAUAGUUGGUUACUCUUUUAUUAUUUACAGCUAUUGAUAUCGUUUUUAUUAUUU